UACCGCAUACGAUCUGAGGAUGAAAGCGGGGGACCUUCGGGCCUCGCGCGAUUGGAGCGGCCGAUGGCAGAUUAGGUAGUUGGUGGGAUAAAAGCUUACCAAGCCGACGAUCUGUAGCUGGUCUGAGAGGACGACCAGCCACACUGGGACUGAGACACGGCCCAGACUCCUACGGGAGGCAGCAGUGGGGAAUUUUGGACAAUGGGCGAAAGCCUGAUCCAGCAAUGCCGCGUGCAGGAUGAAGGCCUUCGGGUUGUAAACUGCUUUUGUACGGAACGAAAAAGCUCCUUCUAAUACAGGGGGCCCAUGA
rnacentral:rRNA from 1 species